UACGUAGGGGGCUAGCGUUGUCCGGAAUCAUUGGGCGUAAAGCGCGUGUAGGCGGUCCGGUAAGUCCGCUGUGAAAGUCGGGGGCUCAACCCUCGGAUGCCGGUGGAUACUGUCGGGCUUGAGUACGGAAGAGGCGAGUGGAAUUCCUGGUGUAGCGGUGAAAUGCGCAGAUAUCAGGAGGAACACCAAUGGCGAAGGCAGCUCGCUGGGACGGUACUGACGCUGAGGAGCGAAAGCGUGGGGAGCGAACAGG
rnacentral:rRNA from 1 species